rnacentral:rRNA from 1 species
AGCGAACGCUGGCGGCAGGCCUAACACAUGCAAGUCGAACGAACCUUUCGGGGUUAGUGGCGGACGGGUGAGUAACACGUUGGAACGUGCCUUUAGGUUCGGAAUUACUCAGGGAAACUUGUGCUAAUACCGAAUGUGCCCUUCGGGGGAAAGAUUUAUCGCCUUUAUAGCGGCCCGCGUCUGAUUAGCUAGUUGGUUGAGGUAAUGGCUCACCAAGGCGACGAUCAGUAGCUGGUCUGAGAGGAUGAUCAGCCACAUUGGGACUGAGACACGGCCCAAACUCCUACGGGAGGCAGCAGUGGGGAAUAUUGAGAAAUGGGAGAAAGCAUGAAGCAGCCAGGCAGCGUGAAUGAUGAAGGUCUUAGGAUUGUAAAAUUCUUUAAGCGGGGACGAGAAUGACGGUACCCGGAGAAGAAGCCACGGCUAACUUCGUG